AAACCAAGAAAUUUAGUCAUUUGUUCAUGGUAAAAAGACAGUUAUACAAAAUAAUAUAAUCAUUAGAUCUUCAGUAAAGGAGUAAAAUCUAAAUACUGAAAGCUAUUCUAGGCGUGAUAUACUUGAGAUGUUGAAUCUGUGAUAGCUUUAAGGGAAACUGGGAUUGGAUACCCCAUUAUUUUUAGUCGUAAAUUUAGUUAAUACUUACCAGAGUACUACGAAUAAAAAAUUUAAAACUCAAAGGGCUUGGCGGUGUUUUAGACCUCUCAGGGGAACCUGUCUCGUAAUCGACAAUCCACGUUAAACCUAACCCUUUAUGGUAAUACAGCCUGUAUACCGUCGUCGUCAGGUAACUUCUUAAAAUAUAGUAGUUAGCUUGAGAAUUUCAUUAAUUAGGACGUCAGAUCAAGGUGCAGCUAAUAAAAGGGUGAGGAUGGGUUACAAUUACAUAUUUGUAAUUACAGAAAACACUUGAAAUUGAGUGUCUAAAGGAGGACUUGAAAGUAAUCUUAAUUAUCUAAAUAAAAUGAAUUGGGCUCUGAAACGUG
rnacentral:rRNA from 1 species